rnacentral:rRNA from 1 species
AUUGAACGCUGGCGGCAGGCUUAACACAUGCAAGUCGAGCGGGGUGAUGGUGCUUGCACUAUCACUUAGCGGCGGACGGGUGAGUAAUGCUUAGGAAUCUGCCUAUUAGUGGGGGACAACAUCUCGAAAGGGAUGCUAAUACCGCAUACGUCCUACGGGAGAAAGCAGGGGAUCACUUGUGACCUUUCGCUAAUAGAUGAGCCUAAGUCGGAUUAACUAGUUGGUGGGGUAAAGGCCGACCAAGGCGACGAUCUGUAGCGGGUCUGAGAGGAUGAUCCGCCACACUGGGACUGAGACACGGCCCAGACUCCUACGGGAGGCAGCAGUGGGGAAUAUUGGACAAUGGGGGGAACCCUGAUCCAGCCAUGCCGCGUGUGUGAAGAAGGCCUUAUGGUUGUAAAGCACUUUAAGCGAGGAGGAGGCUCUUUUGGUUAAUACCCAAGAUGAGUGGACGUUACUCGCAGAAUAAGCACCGGCUAACUCUGUGCCAGCCGCCGCCGUAA